rnacentral:tRNA from 1 species
GCCCUGGUGCUGGAAUUGGCAGACAGGCACGGUUCAGAACCGUGUGUCCGAAAGGACGUGAGAGUUCAAGUCUCUCCCAGGGCA